AUACGUAGGUGGCAAGCGUUAUCCGGAAUCAUUGGGCGUAAAGGGUGCGUAGGCGGCUUCUUAAGUUUGUAGUGAAAUCGUAGGGCUCAACUCUAUCUAGCUACAAAAACUGGGAGGCUGGAGUGCGGUAGAGGCUAGUGGAAUUCCUAGUGUAGCGGUAAAAUGCGGAGAUAUUAGGAGGAACACCGGUGGCGAAGGCGACGAGCUGGGCCGUAACUGACGCUGAGGCACGAAAGCGUGGGGAGGAAAUAGGAUGAGAUGCCCUAGUAGUCCACGCCGUAAACGAUGAAUACUAGGUGUAGGGGGUAUCGACCCCUUCUGUGCCGCAGUCAACACAAUAAGCAUUCCGCCUGGGGAGUACGGCCGCAAGGUUGAGACUCAAAUGAAUUGACGGGG
rnacentral:rRNA from 1 species